rnacentral:rRNA from 1 species
AGCGAACGCUGGCGGCAGGCCUAACACAUGCAAGUCGAACGAACCUUUCGGGGUUAGUGGCGGACGGGUGAGUAACACGUGGGAACGUGCCUUUAGGUUCGGAAUAACUCAGGGAAACUUGUGCUAAUACCGAAUGUGCCCUUCGGGGGAAAGAUUUAUCGCCUUUAGAGCGGCCCGCGUCUGAUUAGCUAGUUGGUUGAGGUAAUGGCUCACCAAGGCGACGAUCAGUAGCUGGUCUGAGAGGAUGAUCAGCCACAUUGGGACUGAGACACGGCCCAAACUCCUACGGGAGGCAGCAGUGGGGAAUCUUGCGCAAUGGGCGAAAGCCUGACGCAGCCAUGCCGCGUGAAUGAUGAAGGUCUUAGGAUUGUAAAAUUCUUUCACCGGGGACGAUAAUGACGGUACCCGGAAAAGAAGCCCCGGCUAACUUCGUG